UACGAAGGGGCUAGCGUUGCUCGGAAUUACUGGGCGUAAAGGCGCGUAGGCGGCGCUGUUAGUCAGGCGUGAAAUUCCUGGGCUCAACCUGGGGACUGCGCUUGAUACGGCAGUGCUUGAGGAUGGAAGAGGCUCGCGGAAUUCCCAGUGUAGAGGUGAAAUUCGUAGAUAUUGGGAAGAACACCGGUGGCGAAGGCGGCGAGCUGGUCCAUUACUGACGCUGAGGCGCGACAGCGUGGGGAGCAACAGG
rnacentral:rRNA from 1 species